ACAAGUUUCGUGGGCUAGCUUGUAUGUCUGUUCUCUGUGCUAUGGGUGAAUUGUUUUUCUUUCCCACUUUUGAUGGAACAUUUUGUUGCAACUGGCCGUUUCCAGUCAACCCUGACCCCGAUCGUUCGCCAGCGGAACGGAUUCCCCUAGCAUUCAUCAAAAUUCAAGGAAAUUCGCUACACCGCUAAGCAUCCGAUGGAACGGCUAAUGAAAAAUUCAAGAAGAACCAAAUAGACAGAUGGAUCAUUAAUUUUGGAUGCCCGUUUUUGCGAGGAAUCAGCCAACAUCGAACUCGAUCGUUUGCCAGUGCAACACAUUUUAGCAGAAUUCGAGAAAAAUGGAAUCUUCUAUUCCUCCGCUGUACUGCAGACGGAAUUUCCGAUAUAGGAUCCCACGAGGAAUGAAUCUUGCAAGCCAAACAACCUGAUUGUCCUGCCCAGUUACCCAGGUUUUUACAAUUGUUACAUUUUUACUGUAAUUCAUUAAACUUGAACAUUUGACGUAAUAGGUGAUUUAUUGUUUUGAAUAACCCAUGUUACUUUGUGAAACAGGGAAGGAUGUCUCAUACCAAAUUUAUGUAAAAUAAGACACUACUCAAAUAAUUUUCAAGUUCAUUUUCUCAAAUUUGUUAAACAGCCAAGUUUUGAUUGAAUGAAUUUUGAAACGAGGGUCUCGUACAGAAUCAAUGUUUUAUUU